CACAGAUCCCUUCAGAGGAGCUUAGGGGUGGGGGCAGGAGAGGACAGAAGGUUACAUCCUUUUAGAGGGUUUUACAGCCCGGAGAGAUGCUCGGAACCCUCGAAGGCAGCCGGCAGAAGCCGACUGCUCCCCACGAAGUUUAUCGAGGUGCUGGCAACUUCGAUGUUUGGCUUCACUUCAGGCUGGAGAAGGAAACAUUUAAUUUCUCAAAAACCCAGUGUGACUCAAGCCUCGGUGCCAAUGUCACAGCAUUAGCUGAGCGAACGGAGCAGUCAAGGCAAAGCCAACUCUUAUCUAUUCAUGAUGGCAAGAGCUGCGAGGACCAACGAGGAUGACGAGGAUGACGACAUAGUGGAAGGUACGACUUUGGAUUUUAUCAUUUGAAGAUACGCAAACCCAGUUCAAAGAGGAAAGUCAACAGAGAAGCUUGGGAUGCUCAUUCCCGUAAGAAACCUCAGCCAGUGAUUUGAAUGGGGAAAAAAAGAAAAAAAAGUAAAACAAGGA